rnacentral:tRNA from 1 species
GGAGAUGUAUCGAAGAGGUCAUAACGAGAACGACUCGAAAUCGUUUGAUCGGUUAAUCCCGGUCCGUGGGUUCGAAUCCCACCAUCUCCG